rnacentral:snRNA from 1 species
AUAUCUUAGGGCUAUUUGGCUGUGGCAUCUCUUACCUUAUUGAUUAUCAAGUGGGAUUUAGCUUAUCGGGCUGGAUGGGUGGGAAUCUCCCUCCUCUCUUCACUGAUCUACCUGUAUCCCUACUAAAGUUUCAAUGUUGGAAGAAGUUAACCUUCACUUAAAGAGUACUGCUCUUUGCUCAGGGAUGUGUGAGGCUACACUGUGACUCAAAACAAACAUAAUUUUUAUCCUCUCUCCAGCGUUUUUGGAACUCAGUGAAAUAACAGCAAUUUCCCAUAGUCUGAAGAGGUGGCCAUUGCCAUUCAUUUUAGG